rnacentral:rRNA from 1 species
AUUGAACGCUGGCGGCGUGCUUAACACGUGCAAGUCGAUCGGUAACGCGGGGGCAACCCUGGCGACGAGAGGCGGACGGGUGAGGAACGCUUGGGAAUCUGCCUAUCAGCGGGGGACAACCCGGGGAAACUCGGGCUAAUACCGCAUACGCUCUACGGAGGAAAGCCGGGGACCGCAAGGCCUGGCACUGAUAGAUGAGCCCAAGUCGGAUUAGCUAGUUGGCGGGGUAACGGCCCACCAAGGCGACGAUCCGUAGCUGGUCUGAGAGGACGAUCAGCCACACUGGGACUGAGACACGGCCCAGACUCCUACGGGAGGCAGCAGUGGGGAAUAUUGGACAAUGGGGGAAACCCUGAUCCAGCGACGCCGCGUGGGUGAAGAAGGCCUGCGGGUUGUAAAGCCCUUUCGGUAGGGACGAAAGCUCUCGACCUAACACGUCGGGAGGUUGACUUAACCUACAAAAGAAGCACCGGCUAACUCUGUGCCAGCCGCCGCAGUAAUAC